rnacentral:rRNA from 1 species
GUACUCGAGCGGCGAACGGGUGAGUAACGCGUGAGUAAUCUGCCUCUGGCUUCGGGAUAGCCACCGGAAACGGUGAUUAAUACCGGAUACGACACAUCACUGCAUGGUGCGUGUGUGGAAAGUUUUUUCGGCCAGGGAUGUGCUCGCGGCCUAUCAGCUUGUUGGUGGGGUAAUGGCCUACCAAGGCUUCGACGGGUAGCCGGCCUGAGAGGGUGACCGGCCACACUGGGACUGAGACACGGCCCAGACUCCUACGGGAGGCAGCAGUGGGGAAUAUUGGACAAUGGGCGGAAGCCUGAUCCAGCAACGCCGCGUGAGGGAUGACGGCCUUCGGGUUGUAAACCUCUUUCAGCACAGACGAAGCGCAAGUGACGGUAUGUGCAGAAGAAGGACCGGCCAACUACGUGCCAGCAGCCGCGGUAAUACGUAGGGUCCGAGCGUUGUCCGGAAUUAUUGGGCGUAAAGGGCUCGUAGGCGGUUUGUCGCGUCGGGAGUGAAAACACCGGGCUUAACUCGGUGCUUGCUUUCGAUACGGGCAGACUAGAGGCAUUCAGGGGAGAACGGAAUUCCUGGUGUAGCAGUGAAAUGCGCAGAUAUCAGGAGGAACACCGGUGGCGAAGGCGGUUCUCUGGGAAUGUCCUGACGCUGAGGAGCGAAAGUGUGG